rnacentral:rRNA from 1 species
AAUAGAUACCCAGGUAGUCCUAGCCGUAAACGAUACUCGCUAGGUGUCGGCCACGGUGCGACCGUUGUCGGUGCCGUAGGGAAGCCGUGAAGCGAGCCACCUGGGAAGUACGGCCGCAAGGCUGAAACUUAAAGGAAUUGGCGGGGGAGCACCACAACGGGUGGAGCUUGCGGUUUUAAUUGGAUUCAACGCCGGAAAUCUUACCGGGACCGACAGCAAUAUGAAGGCCAGGCUGAAGACUUUGCCGGAUUAGCUGAGAGGUGGUGCAUGGCCGUCGUCAGUUCGUACUGUGAAGCAUCCUGUUAAGUCAGGCAACGAGCGAGACCCACGCCCACAGUUGCCAGCGUACUCUCUGGAGUGACGGGUACACUGUGGGGACCGCCGCUGCUAAAGCGGUGGAAGGAAUGGGCAACGGUAGGUCAGUAUGCCCCGAAUAUCCCGGGCUACACGCGAGCUACAAUGGUUGGUACAAUGGGUAUCUACCCCGAAAGGGGACGGGAAUCUCCGUAAAACCAAUCUUAGUUCGGAUUGAGGGCUGCAACUCGCCCUCA